GACCAACCCUUAAAGACUGCUGCAUCUUUAGGAUAUUCUAGUCCAACAUCGAGGUCACAAACUCUCUUUUCGAUAAGGACUCUCAAAGAGAAUUAUGCUGUUAUCCCUAUGGUAACUAAUUCCAUUGAUCAAAAUUUCUGGAUCAACACUUGUAAGUCUUAUUGAUUAAUAAAGAAGCUUUAUUUGUUCCAUAGUCGCCCCAACCAAAAUCUAAAAUAGAUUAAUAUUUAAAAUUAUAUAUUAUUUUCAAUUUAUUUUUUUAAAGCUCAAUAGGGUCUUCUUGUCUUUCAAUUAAAUCUAGGUUUCCUCACCUAGAAAUCAAAUUCUAAAAAAUUACAUAGAGACAGCUUUGUUCACGUCAAACCAUUCAUACUAGCCCUCAAUUAUAGGGCAAAUGAUUAUGCUACCUUUGCACGGUCAGAGUACCGCGGCCGUUAAAAUAUAUUCACUGGGCAGGUCCGACUC
rnacentral:rRNA from 1 species